CCGGAAGUGCUUGGCCACAGUCGCAGCCCCGGCGCCCCGAAGCGGGAAAAAGGCUGGGUGCCGCCGUCCCCCAGCUGCGCAACCCUAGGAACUCUCGGGUAGCAAAAAAAAAGAGCAUGAGGAAUUUGAAGACUGAGAGAUGAGUUGUGUAGCACCAACAUUUUCUUUCUGCCUGACCUUCAUACCUGAUGAAUUAAAAGCAUAGGAUGUUUGGAAGAGUGAGAUAGGGGACACAUUGAAAACAGAGAGGCAAUCUGAAGGCUACCUUGACGCAUCUGCAAAGCUCCCAGAUUCUGACUUUCACAAGACUUGCUUUCUGUUUCUGGGCCUCGCCUAAACAGACUGCCAGUCAUCCGAACCGUGGCAGGAUGGAGAUGUUUGUGUAAGGUAGACUCAAGUUUGCAAGACUCAAGAAGGAAACCACCAAACUAAUUUUACUUUCACUUAAACCAGAUUGAAACCAAGACUUGAAGAAUUAAAAACUUUGACAUUAACCAUUGAUUCACUCCAAUGAAAUAAUUGUGUUAUAGCCAGAAUCAUGGUGAAAUUGGAACAAGGCUUUUGAUGGGAUUUUUAAUUGAGGGACUUAUAUUAAAUUGGAUAUUUUCUUUAAUGAACAGCAUGUGGCCAAAAUUCUAUUUUCAUUAAAGUAUAUUAAGCAUCAUGACAACUCAUAUUAAACCUGCAACAAAUGAUUAAUGACAUUUAGAGACUUCAAAUGUCAUGAGACACCUUAAAUAUUAAGAAUCAAAAAGAACACCUCAAAGUUGUUUCUAUUCUUAGUAAUUAUGCUUAAAAAAACAUCUUUCCUUGCUUUGAAAGCCAGUUGCUAAAAAUAAAAACUGUUCCAUGAAAAAUCACAAUGCCCAAUGAUAAAUUUAUGUAUUUGUUUUUUAAAGGGGGAGGAUGGUGAGAAAAAUAGAAAGCUCCUGGCUGACAUCAGAGGUCACAAGAUGAGUUCCUCAUUUGUCCAAAUGACAUUCAGCUGCUAAAAGAAGUCAGACUUUUAGAGGGCUGUUGAAAAGACAGUAAGUCAGGAGGUUUUCAGUACAUGACUGCAGGGGAAUCAGACACAGGCUAGUCACUUAAGUUGCUUAAUUGUCCGUGUACCCUUAGCCCACGACUUCAGGGCUCAGCAGCUUCAUCCUUCAUGGCACCAAACCUUGACGUAAGGGAUUCAAAGACACACUCAUAAGAAUCGUGAAUUUGUCCUCAUGCAAAAUUUGGGGGACUGGCUACAAAACCGAAACAAGGAGAUCGUAUCCCUAAGUGAAAG
rnacentral:lncRNA from 1 species